rnacentral:rRNA from 1 species
AUGAUGUUCCGGACCGAGUAUAUGUGCAGACUACUGAAUGUGUCCAGGCUUUCUGCAUUCGGUAUGCAGGUGGCAAAGUUGGUUCUUGAAAAUGUUCAGAACGAUCUUGAUCCACUGGAGAGCAUGAACCAUGUAUACCCAGACCUCUUCUCAGCAUGCAUGAAGUUAUCGGCAGAACUGAAUGAACUCUAUCCCAACUGGAAUUUCUACUUCACAAACGUGGCGCAACAUGGCAGCAACGUGACCACGGAGAUGCACGAAGCCAGUCUAGGCUGCGAGACCGGCACGAACAACCCCCUCGUCAACUUCAUGAUGAGCAGAUUCCUUCGUCCGAGUGCUGGGAUCGACGUGAUCCUUGCCAAGGGUGACGCACCUGGUCCCUGCUCAACCAUCCAUUCACCCACUGCUUCGGGAGAUAGAUGGAUGGACCCUGAAAUGGACACUGUAACAGCCCUCAAGGAAAAGACGGCACAACCUUGUUCCCCACUUGGCCACUUCAAGUGGGGUGGUGAGGCUCCUUUCGGGUCCAAGUCGGCAAUGGGUCGACCGGUCGACUGUGUGCGAGGCGCAAGAGCGUCAUGGCGCCUCGGUGGAUCCAUUGACCUGGUGAUUCAGCUUGGAUGA